UGAAUUUUUCUAUAUAGCGGAAAAAAUUGGAGUUAGACCGUUUGAAGAAGAAGAAAAACCUCUACAAAUCUCUCUAUGAUAUCUCUCACUUUUUAGAAAUCCCUAAAUUUUAAUUUUUUUUGCAAAAUGUCUGGAGAAGUUUUUUUUUCUCCGGCGAUCUUGCUUGGUUCACCGACGAAUUGUCGGCGACGAUCAUGAUCCAGAAAUGACGAUCUCUCACUUCGUCUAGGUAUAUCGAUUAUCUGAUCGUUUUGCCUGAGAACAAGAAGAAGAUGAUGGUUCAUCAUAGUUAACCAAGGAAGCGGCUCUAAUCUUAGUUAUGUUAACAAACACAAAGUGCCUUUGGUUUUGUUCAAAUAUUUGAUCUAUUCAAUCUUUUUCUCCUCCUUGAUCUUUUGAUAUUGGUCUUUGAAUAUGAUGUUAAGUCACGUUUCUUCUUCAGGUGCAAAGUCCAGAGCCUAGAAUGUGGCGUUUCUUAGAACUCAGAAAACAGAGAAUUCUGGAUUCGCAAAUCAAUUGAAGAAUGUGUAUACUUACAGGCACUUAUUCGUAUACACGCCGGCAUUCAUACAUUCAUACAUACAUACACGCCAUGCAUUCAUACAUUCAUAUAUACAUACACGCCAUGCAUUAAUACAUUCAUGCAUUCAUACAUUCAUGCAUUCAUACAUGCUUGCAUUCAUGCAUCCAUGCAUUCAUGCAUCCAUGCAUUCAUACAUACACGCCAUGCAUUCAUACAUUCAUGCAUUCAUACAUACACGCCAUGCAUUCAUACAUGCUUGCAUUCAUGCAUCCAUGCAUUCAUACAUACAUGCAUACAUGGAUUAGUUGCGUACUUGCUUCCCUUGCACCCUCAUAAUUGCUUCUUUGAUUCUCUGUCUGAUACUCUGUUUACUUACUUAAAUACUUUGCUUGUUUGCUACUUUUUUUUCUUCUUCAUUCCUUGCUUACUAAUCAGCUUCCUUCUUUGGUUACUUGUGUGCUAACUCGAUUCCUUAUUUUUUUCUUUGAUUCUGUCUUUACGUACUUGUUACACGCAUACUUCUAUGCAUCAUAUUUGCUUGUGCACAUUCAUAAUUUCUUCUCUGUUUCUUUGAUUAUGUCUUUACGUACUUGUUACAUGCAUACAUCUAUGCAUCAUAUUUGCUUGUACACAUUUAUAAUUUCUUCUCACUUGCAUCCUUGAUUCAUUUUCUGAUCCUUUCGCUUACAUAUUUUCUGCUUUCAUUCCUUACUUGAUUGCUUUCUUCUUUUAUUUUUUCUUCCUUGCUUAAUUACCAGCUUCUUGGGUUGUUUGUUUCCUUUCUUGCUUCCUUGACUCUUUUGCUUACUUGCUUGCCUUUGUAUUUUCUUCCUUAAUUCCUUGGUUAAUUGGCUUCCUUGUUUCAUUGCUUACAUGCUUGAUUUCUUACAUACUGUCUUUUUUUACUUAAUUCUUUGGUUAACUUGCUUUUCCUGUUUCUUUACUGUAUUUCUUCCUUAACUACUGAACUUGUUUUAAAAUUCUUACUUUCUAUCCUUAUCGCUUGGCAUAUUCUUAUC
rnacentral:sRNA from 1 species